UGUGUGUUUGUCAGAAAAGAAGCAGCUAAUUAAGGACCCCACUACAGUAGGGAGAUUCCCAAAUCGUAUAUCAUGAGGCACAUGCAGCAUUCAAAUCCUUCAGAUGCACAAAUUUUCGCAUUGCAUCGGAGGAGAUUACAAGUUUAGCAAGAAAGCAAGUAAU